AAACCCCUACAUAAACAAAUACAUGGGCGCAGACAUUUUGGACACCCAAGGUUGUGCGGAGGAGAAAAUGCUAGCUGGCGCGUGAUUGGUCAAUAAGAGAAAAGACUUGUUAUGUAUUUGACAAGUGAAAUAAAGUUGAUAAAAAUCUGAUAUCAAGACUUGGGUUUCUUUGAGGUAUAUAGGAGUUACAGGUAAAAAUUUGAAGGGAGGGAUGCACUUUGGUUAGAGAUUUUCAUUUGGUGUCAAACGCACCUAGUUGUAAACAAAUGGAAAUUGAAAGUAAAAGUGCAACGGCACGGUAUAUUUUUUCUGGCAUUUUUUGUUUUCCAAUAUCUCGAACUUUCACGACAAAAAGACCAUUUUCCCGAAAUUCAAUAUAUGUAUCAGUGAGAGGUGCUAAAGUUUGUAUGGAAGUCUAUGGGAAAACAUUUGGUGGUGUUUGUCCUAUAGAAAAGCAAUGCAUUAUCAAGAAGGAAGAGAUUAAUGAACCCUACCCUCUUAAAAUGAACAAAACAUGGACACUCUCGGGAUGAUCCUUUUGCUUUCAUUAAGAGUUUCAAGAUGUGGGUCUGAUUGACUGGGGUGUGAAAUGUAACAGCCAAUGGUGUACUUAAGCUAAGACUGUCAGUCCCAAUAUUCAAGAGGUGAGAUAAGCAAUGGAUAUGUGUUCUAAAUUUACUAAAUUGACCACUUUUUAUAAAUGUUUCUUUUACUCUAUAGGAAAAACCCCUACAUAAACAAAUACAUGGGCGCAGACAUUUUGGACACCCAAGGUUGUGCGGAGGAGAAAAUGCUAGCUGGCGCGUGAUUGGUCAAUAAGAGAAAAGACUUGUUAUGUAUUUGACAAGUGAAAUAAAGUUGAUAAAAAUCUGAUAUCAAGACUUGGGUUUCUUUGAGGUAUAUAGGAGUUACAGGUAAAAAUUUGAAGGGAGGGAUGCACUUUGGUUAGAGAUUUUCAUUUGGUGUCAAACGCACCUAGUUGUAAACAAAUGGAAAUUGAAAGUAAAAGUGCAACGGCACGGUAUAUUUUUUCUGGCAUUUUUUGUUUUCCAAUAUCUCGAACUUUCACGACAAAAAGACCAUUUUCCCGAAAUUCAAUAUAUGUAUCAGUGAGAGGUGCUAAAGUUUGUAUGGAAGUCUAUGGGAAAACAUUUGGUGGUGUUUGUCCGGAAAGUCUCGUUUACUUUCACUUUCGUUUUAUAACUUCCGGGCAGCUCAGCGUUCUUGGAGACUAUGGAUUACCGCUUCGCAUUAGGUUUUAAGCCUCGCAGCGGACUUGGAAAGUCUGUCAUGUCGUUUGUUGCCCGAUUAUUGAAAAGAAGAGGGGAAAGUGGAUUGAGUUAAACAGGGCUCCAGAAGGUACUAGAAAAGGACAAUGCUUCGACUGAAUGUGUCAUCCAUGUACCAUUAUCUGUUAAUGGGGUUUAUCUCUUAGUUUUCUUAUAUAAAAACUUCCAAGUAAUUGAUGAUGGAAUUCAUUUUAAAUCAGGUACAGAGUAAAUUUUUGGGCUGCACUUUUCUUUACUUCAAUAUUUAAAUCUUACUAGUUCAGUAUCAAGUUCACAAAAGCUCACAUAACAUGGCAAAUCAAGGGACUAUAUACCUUAAAUGCUAGUUCAAUUUGUCAUAUAUAUACUUUCUUAAUAAAAAUAAAUCUGUAAAUAACAUUUGUGAACAAGUACUUUUCUCCUCUGUGUGCCUUACAUUCAUUCCAACGACCGAAAUGCAUUCGACAUUUAAGUUCUGCAUAAAAAUUGCUAACUGUGCUGUAUGUUUGCACAUUUGUUUCAAUGAAUAACCUUUUCUUAAAAAUUCUUCAGUAUAACAAGACCAAUAUUGCAUGCUUAUUUUAAUACACUAUAAAUACACUUCAGAACAAAUUUAAGGAAGUCAUGGUUUAA